GAAGAGAAGAGAAAGAGUAGAGAUGAGAAGAGCAUUUCAGGGGAACAACAACCGAUCUGUGGUACUCUCCUUCAUGUUCCUACUUUCUUUCUUUCUUUCUUUUCUUUCUUUCU
rnacentral:ribozyme from 11 species